GCGCUGGCGGCGCGGGCUUCCUCCCCGGAGGUCGGGGUCCUUGCAGCCCGUGGCCGCGUCCUCGGCUCUCCGCCAGGGAAACCUCGAUUUUCCAAACUCGGGAAGGUCGGCUGUCCUUCGGCUACUGAUAAGGUCGCGAGCGCCUGGUCAAAGAUGUUAGCAAUAAAGGGAAAGAGAGAGCCGGACCCAGGAAAGAGACUAAUAAUAGCCGCCAGCUAGAGCUCUGCUCGUGUGCUCAGCGCUUUUAAGAAACAAUAAUAACGACAACCACCAUAAUAGCCACCAUUUAUUGAGCGCUUACUCUGUGCCAGGCACUGUGUUAAGCGCUUGCAGGCAACAGCCCUCCGAGAACCCGCAAUCUUGGCCACAGGCGAUGCCACCUCCAAACCGCCUCCGACGGCCCAGCAGAUUUUGGCCCCGGGUCCCAAGAGGCGCGGCCCCUGCGGGGUUUGGUGGGUUCCGGCAGCCUCCGAUCCUCGGGUGAACCGGGUGGUUCCGGAGCAUUAUCCCUGCUCAACCCGCAGGCGUCAGAUGUACCCACCACAUAAUUUUAUCCACCCAAUGGAAUUCCUGGAUUGGGGGUCUCCAAACCGUCUCUAGUGCCUUCUCCAGCAUGAAAGAGAUUUUCUCAGCUCCUUCCAGAAGGGUGCGUAAGUGGCAGGCAGGCCAUGCAUGCUGGUGUCUGAAGGCGUCCCACCUUGGAGACCCCGGGGCUCGUCUAGACCGCUCCAAGGAACAGGGUCUUGACUCACGGGCUCCCCCUCUGGAUGCCUCUGCCAGUUUUCCCUGGGUUGUCAGAGACUGCCCUUCUCCACAGCCCCUCCAGCUGCAGUUCAGAACAACCCUCCCUUCCAUGCCUGAUUAGACUCAUUCUCCGUGCCUCCCCCAGGGAUGCCUGGGUUUGUGAAGCAGCUGUGUGAUGCCAGUCCCCGUAAGGAACAAGUUCACCGAUGGGUACGUGUAAGGCCUACUCUAGGAGAACCUAAGUCUUUGCCCAGGGGCCUCAGAGCCACUAAGCCCCUCUGGGUCCCCACUGUAGAGAGACUCCUGGUGGGCACAUCCAAGAAGGUGCAGCAAGGGAUCAGGGUAACAGAGUAAACACCACUGGGCCCCUCACCCUGAUCCCUGGGCACCUGGUACUUGCCAGAGCUGAGAAGUGUGGCUCCCCUGGGCCCACAGCCAUUCAUUUUCCUCCAGGGAAUUGGUCCACCCUUCAGUUCUGGAGGCUCCAAAAACAUUCCUCAGAGCAUCUGGAAUAUAUAUUUGCUUCAAUUGGUGAUUGCCGAGGCCAGCUCAGCUGGUUUUCUGUUUGUUUCACUUAGCCAUGGGGGCUGAAGAUGGUCGCUGAGGAUGGGGGCAUCCAGGGCCCCCAGGGACCCUCGGUGUGCAUGGCCAAGGAUAAUGGGAGCCCCCGCCUGCUGGAACGGUGUGUGUGAUGGCUUGACCCUACCCCCUUGGCCUGCUUCUCGAGAAGGGACGCCCUGGGCAGGGCCAGUGGGAGUUAAAAGCUGAGUCUGCAAAGGCCCCAGCCCUCUCCCCAACCCCUGAUUGCUGUGUAGCUCAUCCAAUCCUAGAGUCUGAUACAGUGGAAAAUUAAGUCCAACAGACCCAAGUUCAAAUUUCCAACUUUCCUGCUUAACAGCUGUGUGACCUUGGACAAGUAACUUCUCUGAACUUCA